GGAUAAUACCCCAUAGCCCACCUAUGCUGGAAUGCUUGGUGGACGAAAGCUCCGGCGCUUCAGGAUGGCACUGCGACCUAUCAGGUUGUAGGGAGGGUAACGGCCUCCCUAGCCUACGACGGGUACGGGCGUUGAGAGACGUCGCCCGGAGAUGAACUCUGAGACACGAGUUCAGGCCCUACGGGGCGCAGCAGGCGCGAAAACUGCACAAUGCUGGAAACAGCGAUGCGGGGACUCCAAGUGCCGGCACUAAGUGUCGGCUGUUCCAUUGUCUAAAAAGCAUAGGAAGUAAGUGCUGGGUAAGACGGGUGCCAGCCGCCGCGGUAAUACCAGCACCCCGAGUGGUCGGGACGAUUAUUGGGCCUAAAGCAUCCGUAGC
rnacentral:rRNA from 1 species